rnacentral:rRNA from 2 species
CNNNNNUNNNUAUAAGCACUUAUACCGCGAAACUGCGAAUGGCUCAUUAAAUCAGUUAUCGUUUAUUUGAUAGUACCUUACUACAUGGAUAACCGUGGUAAUUCUAGAGCUAAUACAUGCUGAAAACCCCAACUUCGGAAGGGGUGUAUUUAUUAGAUUAAAAACCAAUGCCCUCACGGGCUCUCUGGUGAUUCAUAAUAACUUCUCGAAUCGCACGGCCUUGCGCCGGCGAUGGUUCAUUCAAAUUUCUGCCCUAUCAACUUUCGACGGCUGGGUCUUGGCCAGCCGUGGUGACAACGGGUAACGGAGGGUUAGGGCUCGACCCCGGAGAAGGAGCCUGAGAAACGGCUACUACAUCCAAGGAAGGCAGCAGGCGCGCAAAUUACCCAAUCCCGACACGGGGAGGUAGUGACAAUAAAUACUGAUACAGGGCUCUUUCGGGUCUUGUAAUUGGAAUGAGUACAANUUAAAUCCCUUAACGAGGGACAAU